rnacentral:rRNA from 1 species
UACAGAGGUCCCGAGCGUUGUUCGGAUUCACUGGGCGUAAAGGGUGCGUAGGUGGUGAGGUAAGUCGGAUGUGAAAUCUCCGGGCUCAACCCGGAAAUGGCAUUGGAAACUACCUUGCUAGAGGAUUUGAGGGGGGAUUGGAAUACUUGGUGUAGCAGUGAAAUGCGUAGAUAUCAAGUGGAACACCAGUGGCGAAGGCGAAUCCCUGGAAAAUACCUGACGCUGAGGCACGAAAGCUAGGGGAGCAAACAGG